rfam:Aeromicrobium sp. Leaf289 contig_2, whole genome shotgun sequence.
GCCCCCGUAGCUCAGUCGGAUAGAGCAGAAGCCUUCUAAUCUUCGGGUCGCAGGUUCGAUUCCUGCCGGGGGCA